rnacentral:rRNA from 1 species
UGACGAGUGGCGCACGGGCGCGGAACGCGUAUGGAACCUGCCCCUGUCAGGGGAAUAGCCCAUGGAAACGUGGAUUAAUGCCCCAUGGUAUCCCGGCCCUGCAUGGGCGUCGGGAUUAAAGAUUUAUCGGACAGGGAUGGCCAUGCGUACCAUUAGCUAGUUGGUAGGGUAACGGCCUACCAAGGCAGCGAUGGUUAGGGGCCCUGAGAGGGGGAUCCCCCACACUGGUACUGAGACACGGACCAGACUCCUACGGGAGGCAGCAGUGAGGAAUAUUGGACAAUGGUGGUAACACUGAUCCAGCCAUGCCGCGUGCAGGAUGACGGCCCUAUGGGUUGUAAACUGCUUUUGUACGGGAAGAAACCCAGGUACGCGUACCUGGUUGACGGUACCGUAAGAAUAAGGACCGGCUAACUCCGUGCCAGCAGCCGCGGUAAUACGGAGGGUCCGAGCGUUAUCCGGAAUCAUUGGGUUUAAAGGGUCCGUAGGCGGGCCUGUAAGUCAGAGGUGAAAGGCCACGGCUCAACCGUGGGACUGCCUUUGAUACUGCAGGUCUUGAGUCAUGGUGGGGUUGCCGGAACAUGUGGUGUAGCGGUGAAAUGCAUAGAUAUCACAUAGAACACCGAUCGCGAAGGCAGGUGGCCAACCAUGAACUGACGCUGAUGGACGAAAGCGUGGGUAGCGAACGGGAUUAGAUACCCCGGUAGUCCACGCCGUAAACGAUGGACACUAGCUGUGGGGUCUUCGGACUCCGUGGCCAAGCGAAAGUGAUAAGUGUCCCACCUGGGGAGUACGUUCGCAAGAAUGAAACUCAAAGGAAUUGACGGGGGCCCGCACAAGCGGUGGAGCAUGUGGUUUAAUUCGAUGAUACGCGAGGAACCUUACCAGGGCUUAAAUGCAGUCUGCAUAGGGUAGAGAUACCCUUUUCUUCGGACCGACUGCAAGUGCUGCAUGGUUGUCGUCAGCUCGUGCCGUGAGGUGUCA